AGGGCGUAUGGUGGAUGCCUUGGCAGACAGGACCGAUGAAGGACGUUUGAGGCUGCGAUAUGCCUCGGGGAGCCGCCAACAGGGCUUUGAUCCGAGGAUUUCCGAAUGGGGGAACCCACCGACCGUCAUGGGUCGGUACCGGCUUCGGCCGGGGGGGUACGCAGGGAAGUGAAACAUCUCAGUACCUGCAGGAAAGGAUAUUCCGUGAGUAGUGGCGAGCGAAAGCGGAUGAUGGCCAAACCUUGCGCGUGUGAUACCCGUCGGGGGUUGCGCGCGGGGUGUUGCGGGAUCGCGUGCGCCGGCUCCGACGGGCCGGCCGGCAGUUGCAGAAAACCAUGUGUCAGGGGAACCGGGUUGAAUACCGGGCCGCAGAGGGUGAGGGCCCCGUACCUGAACGCGCAUGGUCUGCCGAUCGCGUCUCCCAAGUAGCACGGGUCCCGUGGAACCCCGUGCGAAUCCGCCCAGACCGUUGGGUAAGCCUGAAUAUUCCUGUCUGACCGAUAGCGAACGAGUACCGUGAGGGAAAGGUGAAAAGUACCCCGGGAGGGGAGUGAAACAGUCUCUGAAACCGUGCGCCUACAAUCCGUCGGAGCCCUUUUGUGGGGUGACGGCGUGCCUAUCGAAAAAUGAGUCUGCGAGUCAGUGGCAUGUGGCGAGCAUAACCCGUGUGGGGUAUGCGUAGCGAAGGCGAGUCUUAAAAGGCGUUUGAGUCGCGUGUCCUGGACCCGAAGCGGGAUGAUCUAGCCCUGAGCAGGUUGAAGCGCGGGUAAGACCGCGUGGAGGACCGAACCCACCUGGGUUGAAAACCGGGGGGAUGACUUGGGGCUAGGGGUGAAAGGCCAAUCAAAUUCCGUGAUAGCUGGUUCUCUCCGAAAUGCAUUUGGGUGCAGCGUCGGGUCAUUACGUCCCGGGGGUAGAGCUACUGGAUGCUUGCGGGCCCGUAUCGGGUACCAACAGCAACCAAACUCCGAAUACCGGUGACGCGUAUCCCGGCAGUGAGUCGGCGGGGGAUAAGCUUCGUCGUCGAAAGGGAAACAGCCCAGACCGUCGUCUAAGGUCCCGAAGCGUGUGCUAAGUGGGAAAGGAUGUGGAGUCGCAUAGACAGCCAGGAGGUUGGCUCAGAAGCAGCCACCCUUGAAAGAGUGCGUAACAGCUCACUGGUCUAGUGGUUCCGCGCCGACAAUGUAGCGGGGCUCAAGCACACCACCGAAGACGCGGCAGUAUUUUGUACUGGGUAGGAGAGCGUCCCAUGAGGGGCGAAGCGGCCGUGUGAACGCGCCGUGGACUUCAUGGGAGUGAGAAUGCAGACAUGAGUAGCGAGAGACGGGUGAAGAUCCCGUCCGCUGGAUGACCAAGGGUUCCAGGGCCACGUUCAUCGUCCCUGGGUGAGUCGGGUCCUAAGGCGAGGCCGACAGGCGUAGUCGAAUGGAUGAACGGGUCGAUAUUCCCGUACCGGCUUUCAGCCGCCAAAACCGAGGCUUGGAGUACUAACCUCCGGGUCCGGGCUUACUGCUCCUUCGGGGGCGGGAUGCCCUGGCCUGUUGGGACCGAUCCUUGUAGUAGGUCAGCGCAGGAGUGACGCAGAAGGGUAGCCGGCCGCGGAGGUGGUCUUCCGUGGUCAAGCACGCAGGGCGUGGGACAGGCAAAUCCGUCCCGCAUGGGUCCGAGGUGCGAUGAUGGGGGCCUUAUGGCCCGAUAUCCGGUGAUCCCGGCUGCCGAGAAAAGCUUCGGCGUCAGGCUCAAAGCCGCCCGUACCCCAAACCGACACUGGUGGUCAGGUAGAGAAUACCAAAGCGAUCGAGCGAAUCCUGGUCAAGGAACUCGGCAAAUCACUCCCGUUCCUUCGGUUUAAGGGAGACCCCCGAUGGUGAACACACUUGCUGUGGGAGCUUUUGGGGGUGGCACAGACCAGGGGGUAGCGACUGUUUACCAAAAACACAGGUGCAUGCGAAGGCGCAAGCCGCUGUAUAUGCACUGACGCCUGCCCGGUGCCGGAAGGUUAAGAGGAUCCGUCAGCCUUCGGGUGAAGCGGUGAAUUCAAGCCCCGGUAAACGGCGGUGGUAACUAUAACCAUCCUAAGGUAGCGAAAUUCCUUGUCGGGUAAGUUCCGACCUGCACGAAUGGCGUAACGACUUCCCCACUGUCUCGACCAGGAGCUCGGCGAAAUUGCAGUACGAGUAAAGAUGCUCGUUAAGCGCAGAAGGACGAAAAGACCCCGGGACCUUUACUAUACCUUGGUAUUGGCAUUCGGUGUGGAUUGUGUAGCAUAGGCGGGAGGCCGAGAGGCGCGGUCGCCAGAUCGCGCGGAGCCGUAAGGUGAAAUACCGCUCUGUUCGCAUUGGAUGUCUAACCUCGAACAGUCAUCCUGUUCAGGGACAGUGCCUGGCGGGUAGUUUAACUGGG
rnacentral:rRNA from 1 species